GCCCUCGUGGCGCAAUCGGUAGCGCGCGAGACUGUAUGUCCAAUCAAAAACCCUACAUCUAAUGAUCCACCAUGCUAACAGUGAACCAUAGUCUAAUCUCGAGGCUGCGAGUUCGAGCCUCGCCGGGGGCU